rnacentral:rRNA from 1 species
GAUGAACGCUGGCGGCGUGCUUAACACAUGCAAGUCGAACGGAAAGGCCCAAGCUUGCUUGGGUACUCGAGUGGCGAACGGGUGAGUAACACGUGGGUGAUCUGCCCUGCACUUCGGGAUAAGCCUGGGAAACUGGGUCUAAUACCGGAUAGGACCACUUCUUGGAUGUUGUGGUGGAAAGUUUUUUCGGUGUGGGAUGAGCUCGCGGCCUAUCAGCUUGUUGGUGGGGUAAUGGCCUACCAAGGCGUCGACGGGUAGCCGGCCUGGGAGGGUGUACGGCCACAUUGGGACUGAGAUACGGCCCAGACUCCUACGGGAGGCAGCAGUGGGGAAUAUUGCACAAUGGGCGCAAGCCUGAUGCAGCGACGCCGCGUGGGGGAUGACGGCCUUCGGGUUGUAAACUCCUUUCGCUAGGGACGAAGCGUUUUGUGACGGUACCUGGAGAAGAAGCACCGGCUAACUACGUG